rnacentral:lncRNA from 1 species
GUCAUCUGCAAACAAUGAUAGUUUUACUUCCUCCUUUCCAAUUUGGGUUUCAUUUAUUUUUCUUGUCUAAUUUUUAGUGUUCCUGGCACUGGUGGAAGUUUCCACCUUCCUGGUUUCUUUGGCAUACUGAGUGCAGCAUUUUCACAGCAUCAUCGGGCUCUCACAUACAACCACUGUGGAUCCCGCCACCACCUCUGCUGCCGCCACGGAGUCCACGGCUGCCGCCACAUACCACGGCUGCCGCCCACAUCCACCGGCCGCUCCCACCACAACCUCCGCUGCCGCCACAUCCACGGCUGCUCCCACCACAUCCACUGCGGCUGCCACAACCACCACUGCUGCCAAGACCCCCACGUCCUAUGAACAGUGCCUCCUUUAUUUUCGUUUUACCCCAUGGCUUAGGUUCAUUUUCUGCUAAAAGUUAUCACUGAGAUGGAAUCAGCCUCAGCCUUCUAUAUUUGAUCCUACUGGAUUCGGCCAGAAUGUCCCUUGAUUUGUUUCACUGCUAGUACUUUCCAGCCCUGUCAUAUCUCUCUUAUCUCUAAUCAGUUUCUAUUCAUUCAAAUAAAAUGAUGAGUGACAUCAAAAAUAUAUUUGUUUAUUUAGCUGUCGGCCGAGCAGUCAUCCAAUAGUUAUGU